rnacentral:lncRNA from 10 species
GAAGAAUGAGCACAUGGACUGCCCAGCCCCAGCCCCAUGGCACCAGCAUGAUUUCUGAGGACUAAAUGCCAGACCGCGUGGCGUAGCAGUCUGGCUGCAAACCAUUUCCGUCAGCCCAGCGGAGGAACGCACAACAAGGUGCUCAUCCCCGCAGCCGUGCACAGGAGACAGCAACGGUCCAGAUGAAGAAACUGAGGCUCAGGAAGAUCAAGUGACGUCUUCAUUAUCACACAGCCAUUAAGAGCUGAGCUUGGUGGGAACUCAGGCUUCCGCGACUCUAAAGACUAGAACUACAGACAAGCUGCAAAGCAAGAUCAGGUCAAGAUAUUCUCCAAAGUUAUAUCCCGUGGCUCCUCAGUUACAGAUGUGAUUGCAGAAUCCUGCCACUUCUUUUCUUUUUGGUCUCCUUGUUUUCUCAAUCCAGUCAGAAUGAAUUUUAGAUGUGUCCCAAGUGCAGUCUGCCUUCAGCCGCCGAGCCACUCAGACACUUGGAGCUAGCCCAAGUAGCCCAAGUAGUAGGUCUGUGAAUAAACGUCACUUCUGGAAUCAUUCUUCAACAAGUACAACUUGACUAGAGAGACUCAAAUACCUGCACUGGUCCCAAAGAGCCAUCACCCAGUGCUGCCAAGUCUGACCAAGAUGCAUCCUAGCUAAGGAACCAGUCACACCACUGGCUCUCACGCCAUGCCUGAGAGGAGCACAACAGGAGUUUCUCCAGGAAGCUUCCCAACGUUCAGAUGAGUUGCUCUCCAUGUGGAUUCAGCAUCCUGACGAGCUGACACCAAUUCCAGGCCUGGCAUGUCUAACAAAUGCAGCAUUCAAGCCCAAGACACUGAAAUUGUUACCUCAUGUUAUAAAGGACCUGAAGCUGCAUGCAAUUAGCACUGCAUCUGUGAGACUUGGGAAAGACAACUGAGAGAACAGGGUCUUAAAAAGACUAUUUUGGUCCAUAUGGAAAAUUGGUGUGUUGCAUGCAUGGUAAAAUCCUUUCAGAUAUAUUUUUAAACCUUAUGUUUUUAAAACUGGGGACUUAAAUAUUAUUAUAGGAAAAGCAGCAUGAUUCCUUUAACAUCAGAAGGAGAUCUGUAAGUUAAAAAACUGUUGGAACCUUGUAAAGAAAUUAACAUUGUGAAUGAACUCAGGCAUUAGUGCAAAUUAAUCAAACUGCAUACAUUAUAAUUUUUAAUCAGUCAUGGAAUUUCAAUACUUGAAGGGACCUUGGAAAUCAUCUGUCCCAAGAGCAAGAAUUAUGGAAGAUAAAUGGGCAGGUGGAGAAAAACCUCCUGGCUAGAGAAAGGCACAGAAAAAACAAAGAGUUGGGAGACAGCAUGCACAGUGGUUUGAAAGCUCAGGGAUUUGCACACACAGCCUGGGUUCGAAGCUCAGCUUUGCUUUUUGAUGGCAGUAUGAACCAGGCUGAGUUGUUUGACCCUCCUAUGUGACAGUUUAUAAACAAAAGGUUAUUCUGAGUCUUAAGAGAGACCAUCCAUAGAAAGGGCUUAGUAUGGUCCCUGGGAUACCAUAUGGUGCCUGGGACAUCAGUGCUGAGUAAAUAUUAGCUCUAUAGAAAAAGGAAUUUUACAAACAUAAUCUGAGUGAGCCAGACUGACACACUAUGUAUAACUGUGGUCUUUCUCUUUUAUUUGGCUAUGAAAGAAAAGCAAAAUGCAGUAUAUUGAAG